UACGUAGGGUGCGAGCGUUGUCCGGAAUUAUUGGGCGUAAAGGGCUCGUAGGCGGCCUGUCGCGUCGGGAGUGAAAACUCAGGGCUUAACCCUGAGCCUGCUUCCGAUACGGGCAGACUAGAGGUAUGCAGGGGAGAACGGAAUUCCUGGUGUAGCGGUGGAAUGCGCAGAUAUCAGGAGGAACACCGGUGGCGAAGGCGGUUCUCUGGGCAGUACCUGACGCUGAGGAGCGAAAGUGUGGGGAGCGAACAGG
rnacentral:rRNA from 1 species